CCUACGGGAGGCAGCAGUGGGGAAUAUUGCACAAUGGGGGAAACCCUGAUGCAGCGACGCCGCGUGAGUGAAGAAGUAUUUCGGUAUGUAAAGCUCUAUCAGCAGGGAAGAAAAUGACGGUACCUGAUUAAGAAGCCCCGGCUAACUACGUGCCAGCAGCCGCGGUAAUACGUAGGGGGCCAGCGUUAUCCGGAUUUACUGGGUGUAAAGGGAGCGUAGACGGCACGGAAAGUCUGAAGGGAAAGGCCGGGGCUUAACCCCUGAACUGCUUUGGAAACUGCCAUGCUAGAGUGCUGGAGAGGGAAGUGGAAUUCCUAGUGUAGCGGUGAAAUGCGUAGAUAUUAGGAGGAACACCAGUGGCGAAGGCGGCUUACUGGACAGUAACUGACGUUGAGGCUCGAAAGCGUGGGGAGCAAACAGGAUUAGAUACCCUUGUAGUC
rnacentral:rRNA from 1 species